rnacentral:rRNA from 1 species
UGCUUUCAACAGAUGUCGGGCCUCAAGAUCAACUUUGAUAAGAGUGAUGUCAUGGUGAUGGGAUAUUCCCCCUCUGAGUCUAUAGCCAUCGCCAACAGACUUAAUUGCCGCCUGGGCUCUUUCCCCACCUCCUACCUGGGGACCCCCAUUAGCGACUCGCGUCUCUCUGCCGCAGACCUGAGGCCCGCAGUUACUAAGCUCCAGUCCCAUUGCGAGCCCUGGCAGGGGAGAUGGCUAUCUAAGGCGGCCCGGACUAUUCUCAUCAACUCUUCCCUCUCUAGUCUCCUGCUGUUCCUUAUGAGCUUCUAUAGCCUCCAUGAGUCUCUCCACAAGGAGAUCGCCAAGAUCCAGUCCCGCUUCUACUGGGCUGGCGAGCAUGAUAAGCAGAAGUACCACAUGGUCAGUUGGCCUGACAUCUGCAAGCCCAGGGAGCAAGGUGGCCUGGGCAUCAUGUGCUCCAAGAGGAUGAAUAUAGCCCUUCUCUCC